GGAGAAGUGGACUUGAGCAGAGAGGGGAACUUCUCAAGAGUUUCAGUGGGAUUGCUCAAGUGUGCUUAGAGUAGGGGCGGUGAAACAGUGAUGGCGAAGAAACUCCGGUGGAACUCUGGCAUUCCCUUUUAUAGCGGCGCGGAAGAGACAGAGUUGGAGUAGCAUGAAGACCGGGAAGAAAAGGAUGGAGUGCACUGCCAUGGCGGCGAUUGAGCGGUGAUGGGCGGCGGAACAGAACUUCGGAGAUAGCGUCUUCGGCCAUUGGGCACUGGAGACAAGGCGGCGCAGGCGUGGUUUUGCCGGGGUUUAGAUUUGGCGGAGGCUGGCGCUGUCGAGCGGUGGAUUUGAUUGGUGUGACCGGGAGAAAGGCGCUACAAGCGAGGUUGCAACAGGUGAGAAGAUAGGGCGAG
rnacentral:lncRNA from 1 species